rnacentral:rRNA from 1 species
GGUUGUCCCGGUUUAAGCGUGUAGGCUGGUUUUCCAGGCAAAUCCGGAAAAUCAAGGCUGAGGCGUGAUGACGAGGCACUACGGUGCUGAAGCAACAAAUGCCCUGCUUCCAGGAAAAGCCUCUAAGCAUCAGGUAACAUCAAAUCGUACCCCAAACCGACACAGGUGGUCAGGUAGAGAAUACCAAGGCGCUUGAGAGAACUCGGGUGAAGGAACUAGGCAAAAUGGUGCCGUAACUUCGGGAGAAGGCACGCUGAUAUGUAGGUGAAGUCCCUUGCGGAUGGAGCUGAAAUCAGUCGAAGAUACCAGCUGGCUGCAACUGUUUAUUAAAAACACAGCACUGUGCAAACACGAAAGUGGACGUAUACGGUGUGACGCCUGCCCGGUGCCGGAAGGUUAAUUGAUGGGGUUAGCGGUAACGCGAAGCUCUUGAUCGAAGCCCCGGUAAACGGCGGCCGUAACUAUAACGGUCCUAAGGUAGCGAAAUUCCUUGUCGGGUAAGUUCCGACCUGCACGAAUGGCGUAAUGAUGGCCAGGCUGUCUCCACCCGAGACUCAGUGAAAUUGAACUCGCUGUGAAGAUGCAGUGUACCCGCGGCAAGACGGAAAGACCCCGUGAACCUUUACUAUAGCUUGACACUGAACAUUGAGCCUUGAUGUGUAGGAUAGGUGGGAGGCUUUGAAGUGUGGACGCCAGUCUGCAUGGAGCCGACCUUGAAAUACCACCCUUUAAUGUUUGAUGUUCUAACGUUGGCCCCUAAUCGGGGUUGCGGACAGUGUCUGGUGGGUAGUUUGACUGGGGCGGUCUCCUCCUAAAGAGUAACGGAGGAGCACGAAGGUUGGCUAAUCCUGGUCGGACAUCAGGAGGUUAGUGCAAUGGCAUAAGCCAGCUUGACUGCGAGCGUGACGGCGCGAGCAGGUGCGAAAGCAGGUCAUAGUGAUCCGGUGGUUCUGAAUGGAAGGGCCAUCGCUCAACGGAUAAAAGGUACUCCGGGGAUAACAGGCUGAUACCGCCCAAGAGUUCAUAUCGACGGCGGUGUUUGGCACCUCGAUGUCGGCUCAUCACAUCCUGGGGCUGAAGUAGGUCCCAAGGGUAUGGCUGUUCGCCAUUUAAAGUGGUACGCGAGCUGGGUUUAGAACGUCGUGAGACAGUUCGGUCCCUAUCUGCCGUGGGCGCUGGAGAACUGAGGGGGGCUGCUCCUAGUACGAGAGGACCGGAGUGGACGCAUCACUGGUGUUCGGGUUGUCAUGCCAAUGGCACUGCCCGGUAGCUAAAUGCGGAAGAGAUAAGUGCUGAAAGCAUCUAAGCACGAAACUUGCCCCGAGAUGAGUUCUCCCUGACUCCCUGAGAGUCCUGAAGGAACGUUGAAGACGACGACGUUGAUAGGCCGGGUGUGUAAGCGCAGCGAUGCGUUGAGCUAACCGGUACUAAUGAACCGUGAGGCUUAACCUU